UACGUAGGGUGCAAGCGUUGUCCGGAAUUAUUGGGCGUAAAGAGCUCGUAGGCGGUCUGUCGCGUCUGCUGUGAAAAUCCAGGGCUCAACCCUGGACCUGCAGUGGGUACGGGCAGACUAGAGUGCGGUAGGGGAGAUCGGAAUUCCUGGUGUAGCGGUGAAAUGCGUAGAUAUCGGGAGGAACACCUGUGGCGAAGGCGGCUCACUGGCCCGGUACUGACGCUGAGGUGCGAAAGCGUGGGGAGCAAACAGG
rnacentral:rRNA from 1 species